rnacentral:rRNA from 1 species
UACAGAGGGGGCAAGCGUUAUUCGGAAUUAUUGGGCGUAAAGGGCGCGUAGGCGGCUUUUCAAGUGACGGGUGAAAUCCCUCGGCUUAACCGAGGAACUGCCUGUCAGACUGGAAGGCUUGAGACCGGGAGAGGUGAGUGGAAUUCCCAGUGUAGCGGUGAAAUGCGUAGAUAUUGGGAGGAACACCAGUGGCGAAGGCGGCUCUCUGGACGGUGACUGACGCUGAGACGCGAAAGCGUGGGGAGCAAACAGG